rnacentral:rRNA from 1 species
GUGCCAGCCGCCGCGGUAAUACCGGCAGCCCAAGUGAUGGCCGCUGUUAUUGGGCCUAAAGCGUCCGUAGCUGGCCGCACGAGUCCGUCGGGAAAUCCGCCCGCUCAACGGGCGGCCGUCCGGCGGAACCUGUGUGGCUUGGGACCGGGAGGCCUGAGGGGUACGAUCGGGGUAGGAGUGAAAUCCCGUAAUCCUGGACGGACCGCCGGUGGCGAAAGCGCCUCGGAAGGACGGACCCGACGGUGAGGGACGAAAGCGCGGGUCUCAAACCGGAUUAGAUACCCCGGUAGUCC